GUGCCAGCAGCCGCGGUAAUACGUAGGGAGCGAGCGUUGUCCGGAAUUACUGGGUGUAAAGGGAGCGUAGGCGGGAUUGCAAGUCAGAUGUGAAAACUAUGGGCUUAACCCAUAGACUGCAUUUGAAACUGUAGUUCUUGAGUGAAGUAGAGGUAAGCGGAAUUCCUAGUGUAGCGGUGAAAUGCGUAGAUAUUAGGAGGAACAUCGGUGGCGAAGGCGGCUUACUGGGCUUUUACUGACGCUGAGGCUCGAAAGCGUGGGGAGCAAACAGGAUUAGAUACCCUGGUAGUCCACGCUGUAAACGAUGAUUACUAGGUGUGGGGGGACUGACCCCUUCCGUGCCGCAGUUAACACAAUAAGUAAUCCACCUGGGGAGUACGACCGCAAGGUUGAA
rnacentral:rRNA from 1 species